GAGGCGAACCGGGGGAACUGAAACAUCUAAGUACCCCGAGGAAAAGAAAUCAACCGAGAUUCCCCCAGUAGCGGCGAGCGAACGGGGAGGAGCCCAGAGCCUGAAUCAGUGUGUGUGUUAGUGGAAGCGUCUGGAAAGGCGCGCGAUACAGGGUGACAGCCCCGUACACAAAAAUGCACAUACUGUGAGCUCGAUGAGUAGGGCGGGACACGUGGUAUCCUGUCUGAAUAUGGGGGGACCAUCCUCCAAGGCUAAAUACUCCUGACUGACCGAUAGUGAACCAGUACCGUGAGGGAAAGGCGAAAAGAACCCCGGCGAGGGGAGUGAAAAAGAACCUGAAACCGUGUAC
rnacentral:rRNA from 1 species